GAUGAACGCUGGCGGCGUGCCUAAUACAUGCAAGUCGAGCGAAUGGAUUAAGAGCUUGCUCUUAUGAAGUUAGCGGCGGACGGGUGAGUAACACGUGGGUAACCUGCCCAUAAGACUGGGAUAACUCCGGGAAACCGGGGCUAAUACCGGAUAACAUUUUGAACCGCAUGGUUCGAAAUUGAAAGGCGGCUUCGGCUGUCACUUAUGGAUGGACCCGCGUCGCAUUAGCUAGUUGGUGAGGUAACGGCUCACCAAGGCAACGAUGCGUAGCCGACCUGAGAGGGUGAUCGGCCAAACUGGGAAUGAGACACGGCCCAGACUCCUACGGGAGGUAGCAGUAGGGAAUCUUCCGCAAUGGACGAAAGUCUGACGGAGCAACGCCGCGUGAGUGAUGAAGGCUUACGGGUCGUAAAACUCUGUUGUUAGGGAAGAACAAGUGCUAGUUGAAUAAGCUGGCACCUUGACGGUACCUAACCAGAAAGCCACGGCUAACUACGUGCCAGCCGCCGCGGUAA
rnacentral:rRNA from 1 species